GGGAUCCUUCCAGAAGAAGCAGAAGGCCUCCUUCCUGCCAACACAGCAGCGCCACCCCCUCUCAUGGCCCUCCCCGACGACGCCAUUCACCUCCCCCCGUCCCCCGUAUCGCCUUCGUCAAGUACGCCCCUCCCCCUUCCACCCCAUGACGGAGUGCUCGAUUCCUUCAUCUGAUGGCGCCACCCACCUCCCCCCGCUCUCCUCCGCCGCCGCGGCUGUCGAGGCUCACUUCCAGGCGCACUGGUCCGCGCUCGACGCUGCCGCACGCCAGGACCCGGCGCGGGUCAUCGCCGUGGGGGACUGGCGGUCCCCGCUCGAGCUCCCCUUCCUGUGGCUUGGGGAUGUCCCCUGGUGUCGUCUCCGUCAGGCUGCAAGUCCACCAAUUCGGCCUCAUCUGCGACAACCUCGACGCAGUCAACAAGUUCGAGCCCAAUUACAGGCUUAUCAGAAGGUACACUACUAUUGCUCCUACCCUUUUUUUCCACCCUUUGGCCAACAACGGAAUGUUAUGUCUUCAAUGUUUAAUCCAUACUACCCAAGUCUUUGUAAUUGACAAACUAAACAGUGCACUAAUUGAGUAGACUACGAUACAAGAGUAACCACAUGCUUCUAUUCAACCUGUCUUCAAUUACAUUUGAUGUUAGUUACUAAAGACCAAGUAGACUGAGUCUUUUAGAUUGCACAUUUUUUAACUUUCAUGGAAACGUUUUUAGGAAAACAAAUUAGGUGUGAUUCUUUUUAAAAUUCUAUAACAUCAAAUAAAAAGGAAAAUAGAUUGUAAAUAAAUGCUAUAGUCAAGAACUGAACGUGUCUAAUAGGUUGAUUUCAGUGUUUCAAGCUUUAUCUUAUGUUUAUUGAUUAUAUGAGACCUUGCAAUUGGAAUAUUCCUGCAGAUUGGUAUAUUAUAUGCUCGAGUGGUGAAAACAAAUAAUACCAUGAAUCCCGAUGUCUCAUGCAGAUUGGUAUAUUAAUGCAUGCUUUAAAGAAUAGGAAUAUAUAAGAGAUAAGACUUCUUCGGUUUCCACUACUAUCAUCACCUGACAUUUAAUCAGAAGGCGUAGACAAUUUCUAACUUAUUCAUGUACAUAUUUACUGUUCUGUAACAAUUACUGUCCAUAAGGUAUACUUACUACAUCGAUAAGCUUUGUUGCAGGUAAUUCCCAUUCAUUGUUCUUAUUGAUUAACAUGCUGACACUUAAGCUAAUGUGUUCAGUGUUACGAGGAACAUACUCCAAUAGAAAUCUUCAAGUUUGAAACAGAGAUUUACUACAAUUUGUUUAACCUGAAGAUCUAACAACUCUAUCAAAACCUUUGUUUCUUACAUGCCUACCUGCUUUACAUUGUAGCCUCCCCAUCCACCCACCCACCCACCAAGAGUGAAAAAAUCUAAUUCCGUCAUUUUUAUAAAAAAUGUUAUACUUUUAGUGCUUCCUUUGUUAAGCACCUGAAGUGACAUCUUUAUUUCUUCCAAAAAAAUUGUUGUGUUAUACUCGCAGGCCCCUGUUCCUCUAUCCAUGUUUUGAACAUACUUCAUUUCCCGGUUAUACAAAAAAAUCUUUCAAUGCAUUUUUUGGUGAACACGAACAUAUUUACAGAAAUUUGUUUUAAUGAGUGUUGUCUUAUGUUAUUUCCAUGUGGCAAUACUUCAGUUUUUCUCUUUGUCACCACCUUAACGUGUACUACUACAGUGUUUACAACUAUAGAUUCGUCAAGUAUUGCCCUAAUUAAGUUACAUUUUAAGAUAUUAUAAUCCCAUUAAACUGUCUAGGUUUCUCUUACCAAUUUAAUAGUUAAAGAAAUUUUAUGAUGCAUUGUAUUUGUAGAAGUAAAUGUUCGUAUGCUAUUCUUUUAAUAGCCGAUAAAAUUUAUGCAAUUAACUUUAAUAGUCAAGAAAAAUGUUAUGUUCCAUUCUAUCAAUAGAAUUAACUGUAUACUGAUUGUUUAAAAUCAACAAAAUCUAUCUAGCAUAUAUUCAAAUGUUUUUUCCAUCAAAAUCUGAAAUGUCAGUGUUACCUAGAUUUAGCUUAGCAAUUGGUUUAGCACUCUAAUUAUAUACCUUUUUCUGUCGUAGAUAUAUAUCUUCUUCAACGAUGUUAUUCACUACGGGUCCACUUCUAGAAGGUAUGUAUCUGAGAAAUAUUUUCCCCAUCGCAAGGUAAAUAAUAGUUAUACAUCUACCAAGUUUCAGAUGUAGUCUUAUUCCUUUUUUAGUUUUUAUCGUUAAUUUUUAUUGCACUAAUGAUGUGUUACCUCUUAAGAUAUUUGUCAAACCAAUAAUUUUGAAUGACAUUUAUCUUGGUACUUUGUCAAAUCUAUAAACUUGGGAGUUAGGAUCACAUCUGUUCCUAUAAACCAAGUUCAAAGAUUGUUAUUUUAUUUUGAAGAUCACAACUCACUGUAAUUGUUCAUGAUAAUUAUUUGUAAACUGAAAAUCCAAUUAUCUCGCUAUCAAACACCUUCAAAGAAAUAAAUUAUUCUCGCGCGCAGGGCGCGCGUUACCUACUAGUUCUGAUAAAAAAGAAUGUGCCCCUGCGCUGCGCUGCCCAAUGUCCUCCACCCGCAUUCCCCGUUCAGCUAAACCCUACCCGUCUCCGGCGCCGCUUAGAUCCAUCACAGACGACGCUCGCCGGUCCUGAGGAGAGAUGGCCGACCCGAACUCGCAGCCCCUCGCCGCCGCUACGGCGGAUGUUUCUGCAACCUAACAUCAAGCUGCGAUGACCGCGCCGCAAUCGCACCGAGGCGCUGCGGUGGCGGCGGCGAAGCAGGGAGCAUGCGCAAGCGCAACCAUGGUUGUGCCGUCGUCCCCGCAAGGCGCUCCCGGGUUCGCGGUGGUGUCUCAAGAGGCCGAGGACGUGGCGGCUUUAUCGUCCCCUCUAGGUCCUCCCGGGUUUUGGGUGGUGCCUCAGCAGGUAGCGGUCGCGCCACAGCAAGGUGCUCCGGUAAUGGCGCCGCCACAGGGUGCAACCAUGGUGCCUCCGCAACAGCAGCAUUUCGCGCCUGAGAUGGUGCCUGGCUCCUAGGAAGUCAUGCACAUGCUCGUUCAAGCUACGCCCAUGGGCAUGAUGAUGGCCUCGAUGCCCCUGCAAGCCCAGGCUAUGGUUGAUCACCAACCUGCUCAAGGUAUGGCGCCAUCCGUCCAUGAUGGAGGCGCAGCAAGCUCAACCUGGACACACGACGCAUGACGACACCACAACCUCUGCCACUCGGCCCUUCGUUGACGCAGCAGCAGCCUUCACAAGCUGAUACGAUUAUAAUGGCACAACCGCCUCUGCCUUUCGGCCCUCCACCUGCAAUGCUUCAGCAACAGCCUCCACAUGGGAGUAUGGGACCGCGAUGAUGGUGGCACAAUCACUUCUCACUACCGGAAUCGUGUUCUUUGCCGAGUGUCUAAGAAACUCGGUAAAAGCUAUUUUACACUCGGCAAAGUGUUUUUUUGCUGAAUACUUUUUUCGGUUUGCCGAGUGUCAAAAAACACUCGGCAAAUUAAGAAUCGAAAAAAUAAAAAAAAACAGCAAAACAUUUUUUAAAAUUCUAGGAACAACUCUCCAACACUGUCUAUUAUCAAUUGCUCUAUCAUUUUUCACUAUUAUUUUGAAUCAAAAUUUAUAUGUUUUAUAAAUGAUGAGAUUCGAACUUUCAACCUCUCUCUCUCGCGCAUACACUCCUAUACCACUACACUACUACACAAAUUAUGUCUAUAUUACGAUUUCAUUUCCCAUGUACUAUAACAAAUCGAGAGUAAUUUGACUAUUUAAGGCACUAAAUGAGUUCAUUUAAAAAUGUGACCAACUAUAAAGUUGCAUAACUUUUUGAGAUCUACAAGUUUUAUUUUAAUAGUUUCUACAUCCGAGACCGUUUACAAAAUUUGAAUUUUAAAUUUGAAAACUUCACACGAAUUUUUCAAAGAUAAGAUGAUUUCAAAUCAAAAAAAAUUGUCAACUACAGAGUUUCAUUAUAUUUCAAGACCUACAACUUUUAUUUUGGUGGUUUUUUCAUCCGAGAUGGUUUGAAAAAUUCAAAUUUCAAAAUUCAAACAUAGUUUUGUAUAACAAGAUGAUUUCAAAACAAAACAUUGUCAACUACAAAGUUUCAUAACACUUCAAUGCCUACAACUUUCAUGUUGGUGGUUGUUUCUUUCGAAGUCGUUUUCAAAAUUCAAAUUUUAUUUUUUUAAAUUCAGACGUAGUUUUCGUUGACAAUAUGACUUCAAAUAUAAAAGUUGUCAACUAUAAACUUCUAUAACUUCUUAAGAUCUACAAAGUUUAUUUUGGUUGUUUGGUCAUUUGUUUAUCUCACAUGAUGGUUCUAACAAUAUGCACAAAUUCUAUACGCCUCUCUCGUAGUUUCAUAAACUACGAGAGAGAUACGUUUUAUGAACAAAUUUAUUUUUAUUUUGUCAUAUGAAGAAAUGUUCAAUAUAUAAAUUGUACAUCAUGAUGAGUUAUACAAAUUUAUAGUUGAAAACCUUUUCAUUUGAAUUAAUUUACUAUUUAAAAAUGUGAUUUUUAAAUUGUUUUUGCCUAGUGUUGGAGAAAAAACACUCGGCAAAGAGCUCUUUGCCGAGUGUUGUAUUUGUGACACUCGCCAAAGAGCCUGCCAAGUGUCAAAAAAAGACACUCGGCAAAGAAAUUCUUUGCUGAGUGUCAAAAAUAAAACACUCGGCAAAAAGUUUCUUUGUCGAGUGUUUUCUUUUACCGAGGGUUUUUUGCGUGGCACUCGGCAAAUAACUUCUUUGCCGAGUGCCCGAAAAAAGCACUCGGCAAAGAAUAUGACAAUCGGCAAAGAGCCAAAUUAUGCCCUCCAUUAGUGAUGCUGCAACACAAUCCACAGGGCAACCAGGUGAUGGUGGCACAGCCGCAAUUCGUUGCGUCUUGACCAAUAUGGUUUGUGAUCAACUUCUAGUUAUGCCUGAUUACUAUUUUAUUUACGUGAUAUCAGUCCCAUAUGUAUGAUUAACAAAAGUUCUACCAUAUAUAGAUGUAUUCAAGCUGGUGUAGACUAGGACUAGAUUUUUACAUUUAUUUGUUGUAUAAAUCUAGAAGAAUAGAAGAUAAGCCAUAUCAAAACCAUAGGCAGUGUCUGACUGGCUUGUGUCAUUUGUGCAAGACGACAGGAGCUUUUACGAUUGAGGUUCUUAUAUGGGCUGAUUGGACCAGCUGCCC